UCCAAGCCGUAAAUGAUGCUCGCUAGACGUUUCUCAAUUUAUUGGGGAGUGUCGAACCUAACGGGUUAAGCGAGUCGCCUGGGGAGUAUAGUCGCAAGUCUGAAACUCAAAAGGAUAGGCGGGGGAACACACAAGCAGUGGAUUACCUCGAUUAAUUGGAUAUUAAGCCAAGAAUCUUACCCGGACUUGACAUAGCUGAGAAUCUGUCCCGAAAGGACGGCGUGCUCUGAUUU
rnacentral:rRNA from 1 species